GAUGAACGCUGGCGGCGUGCCUAAUACAUGCAAGUCGAGCGAACGGACGAGAAGCUUGCUUCUCUGAUGUUAGCGGCGGACGGGUGAGUAACACGUGGAUAACCUACCUAUAAGACUGGGAUAACUUCGGGAAACCGGAGCUAAUACCGGAUAAUAUUUUGAACCGCAUGGUUCAAAAGUGAAAGGCGGUCUUGCUGUCACUUAUAGAUGGAUCCGCGCUGCAUUAGCUAGUUGGUAAGGUAACGGCUUACCAAGGCAACGAUGCAUAGCCGACCUGAGAGGGUGAUCGGCCACACUGGAAAUGAGACACGGUCCAGACUCCUACGGGAGGCAGCAGUAGGGAAUCUUCCGCAAUGGGCGAAAGCCUGACGGAGCAACGCCGCGUGAGUGAUGAAGGUCUUCGGAUCGUAAAACUCUGUUAUUAGGGAAGAACAUAUGUGUAAGUAACUGUGCACAUCUUGACGGUACCUAAUCAGAAAGCCACGGCUAACUACGUG
rnacentral:rRNA from 1 species